GGGCGAUCUUGAAUCUUAAUUAGAACACUCACGUUCCCUGUGGAAAAUCGAUACUCUAGAAUACUCCCGGGUGAAGGCUACAUCGGUAUCCGUGCGCUUGCGGAUUUUUCUGUUUGCGUUUAAAAUACCCAACAAGCCUUCUGGCGCCGUUGCCGGGGAACGGAAGUUGUGCUAGUUUCGAACCAAGUCGUCCCUGUAUCCUUUUUCUUUUCCUUUUUUUUACCACACUCACCUUAUCAUUUUCAUCAUGCCACAUGGAUUUCACUCUAAGCAUUAAUGAGCAUGGAAUUUAUUUCAUAGCCACUUCAUUUACUCCAUGCUCAUAUGCAACAUCUUCCCAAUCCAUUGGUUUUUCCAACAUCACCACAUUCGAGAUCUCCAACCCCCUCAUCCUUUCUAUUUAUCAAAACUUUAAAAGGGCGGUUGUCGAUACAUAUGUCUAUAAUAAACAUUGCAGAUCUCGUUGAGUUGAUCUUGAUAUAGGUCAGCGUUGG
rnacentral:lncRNA from 1 species